AUUUAAGUAGUUUAUAAAAAUAUUAGUUUGUGAUAUUAAAGAUAUAAAUUAGAUUUAUCUUAAAUU
rnacentral:tRNA from 1 species